rnacentral:tRNA from 1 species
GGGCACAUGGUGUAGUUGGUUAUCACAUCCGCUUAGCAUAAUAAUUUAGAAGAUUGUUGUCACUUUGCGGGGGGUGCUGGGUUCAAUUCCCAGUGUGUCCA